rnacentral:rRNA from 1 species
UGGGGAAUAUUGCGCAAUGGGGGAAACCCUGACGCAGCAACGCCGCGUGAGUGACGAAGGCCUUCGGGUCGUAAAGCUCUGUCGGAGGGGAAGAAACUACCAAUGGCUAACAUCCAUAGGUAUUGACGGUACCCUCAAAGGAAGCACCGGCUAACUCCGUGCCAGCAGCCGCGGUAAUACGGAGGGUGCAAGCGUUGUUCGGAAUUACUGGGCGUAAAGGGCGCGUAGGCGGUCGAGUAAGUCGGAUGUGAAAUCCCCGGGCUUAACCUGGGAAUUGCAUUCGAUACUGCUUGGCUAGAGUGUGGAAGAGGGAAGCGGAAUUUCCGGUGUAGCGGUGAAAUGCGUAGAUAUCGGAAGGAACACCAGUGGCGAAGGCGGCUUCCUGGUCCAACACUGACGCUGAGGCGCGAAAGCGUGGGGAGCAAACAGGAUUAGAUACCCCUGUAGUCCCUGAGCGGGCUGGCAAGGCGCAU